CAUCAGUGGUUUCUGCUGGUA
rnacentral:miRNA from 10 species